rnacentral:rRNA from 1 species
GGGCAAAACCGCAUGAAAAAUGUAAAGCGUUAUGUGGAUCGAACAUUAGUAGAGAAGCGUGUGAGCCAGCUGCCAAGAAAAGCCGCUAUUGCUUCAUAAGUACCCGUACCGUAAACCGACACAGGUGGAUGAGGAGAGAAUCCUAAGGCCGGCGGGAGGAGUGUUGUUAAGGAACUCGGCAAAAUGACUCCGUAACUUCGGGAGAAGGAGUGCCACAGAGAUGUGGCCGCAGAGAAAUGGCCCAAGCAACUGUUUAGCAAAAACACAGGUCUAUGCAAAACCGAAAGGUGAGGUAUAUGGGCUGACGCCUGCCCGGUGCUGGAAGGUUAAGAGGAGAGGUUAGAGCAAUCGAAGCUUUGAAUUUAAGCCCCAGUAAACGGCGGCCGUAACAAUAACGGUCCUAAGGUAGCGAAAUUCCUUGUCGGGUAAGUUCCGACCCGCACGAAAGGCGUAAUGAUUUGGGCACUGUCUCAACAACACACCCGGUGAAAUUGAAAUACCAGUGAAGAUGCUGGUUACCUGCGCCAGGACGGAAAGACCCCAUGGAGCUUUACUCCAGUUUGAUACUGGGAUUCGGUACUGUCUGUACAGGAUAGGUGGGAGGCUAGGAAAUGGUGACGCCAGUUGCCAUGGAGCCAACCUUGGGAUACCACCCUUACAGUACUGGGUUUCUAACCUGCAGCCGUGACCCGGCUGGGGGACAAUGUCUGACGGGGAGUUUGACUGGGGCGGUCGCCUCCGAAAGAGUAUCGGAGGCGCUCAAAGGUUCCCUCAGAGCGGUUGGAAACCGUUCGAAGAGUGCAAAGGCAGAAGGGAGCUUGACUGCGACACCGACGGGUGGAGCAGAUACGAAAGUAGGACUUAGUGAUCCGGUGGUAUAAAGUGGGAUUGCCAUCGCUCAACGGAUAAAAGCUACCCUGGAUAACAGGCUUAUCACUCCCAAGAGUUCACAUCGACGGAGUGGUUUGGCACCUCGAUGUCGGCUCAUCACAUCCUGGAGCUGUAGCAGGUUCCAAGGGUUGGGCUGUUCGCCCAUUAAAGCGGUACGCGAGCUGGGUUCAGAACGUCGUGAGACAGUUCGGUCCCUAUCCGGCGUGGGCGUAGGAUAUUUGAGAGGAGCUGUCCUUAGUACGAGAGGACCGGGAUGGACAAACCUCUGGUGUAUCUGUUGUUUUACCAAAGGCAUGGCAGAGUAGCCAAGUUUGGCAGGGAUAAACGCUGAAGGCAUCUAAGCGUGAAGCCCCCCUCAAGAUAAGAUAUCCCAUCUUCGGAGUAAGACCCCUUGAAGACUACAAGGUUGAUAGGCUUCAGGUGUAAGUGUGGUAACGCACUCAGCUGAGAAGUACUAAUAGGUCGAGGACUUAUC